CUCAGUCCCAAAAUCCUCCACCCUCAAAUUCUUCGUCUUCCUGCCCUACAUCAUUAAACAUGGAACACGCAGGUUCCAUUUUAUUAGUCAAGGGGAUGUUCUCCGUGAUUUGGAUAUUUGUUUUAGUUAUCAGAUCAAUCAGAAUUGCAUAAAUUAGUUCUCACAUCAACCGGGAUUGCAAAACUCAAAUUACAGUUAUGAUUUUUCCAGACUUGGUUCUCUAAUUCCCAAAAAUUCGAAUUUAGGUUCAUUAUUUGUAUUUAAAUUUUGAUUAAGUUUGAUUCAUUAUCUGUAUAAAAGUUUGAUUAAGUUUAUUGUGUCCAGGUUUAAAAAGGGUCUGUUAAAUUUUAACCUAAGUUUUGAUUAUUGUUCUUCCUUAGGUUAAACAGUAUUACGUUUUUCUCUUUGUGUUUUAGAGUGCUAGGGAGUACUGAGAAACAGAAUUGCGAACGAGAGUAGAAAGAGAAAUGGGCACAAAAACUCUUGAGUUUCUCAUAUGAGUUGUGUAGAGAAUUCUCCAAAGUCUUAAUAGAAUCAUAAAUUAGAGGAAUUGGAUGUUUCAUGAUGAUAAUUCUGGAUAUCAAGAUGUGCAUAUUACUAAGAAAUCUUGGUUGAUCACUGCUCUGCAUGGAUUGUUGGGGGUUGAUUGGUAAGGUUGCUUCUGUAACUUCAUUUUUUGGGAAAAUAAUAAACGAUUCAUACCAGAAGAUUGUUACUUUGCUCUUAACGAGGGAUUCAAAUGGAAGCGCUGAAUCUUUGUUUAAAUCUUAGGGUACCAGACUGUCCAGACUAACAAAGGUCAGAGAUGUCACUCAAGUUCACCUCCACAAUCAUUAUUAUUGGAUCUCCUAAGAAGAAGUAAACAUAAGCCUAAACCCUUGAAAAUGAACUUGACCUCUAUAUAUUUCCUUCUCAAUUUUGAUCUUAAGGGUUUCUUCUCAUUUUUUUCUAUAUGAAACUUAGAUUGUGCCAGUUGAGUCUUUGAUUAUAAUUGUUGCCACUUGAAUUUUAAUUGGCACCAAGGUGUUACAUUGUCCUACACUAACUAUUUGAAUAAGAACAUCAGUUGGAUUAUUAUUGAAAUUAUGGGUCGGUAUCAUUGCAGAAAAUCGAUGGCAUGAGCCAUUUCAAUCUGCUCUUUUUAUUAUCACUCAAAUCUCUUUCUUAUGGACUUUGGUUUUUUAUUCAUAGUUUGGUGAUGGAUUUCACCGAUGUCUCAAAUUCAUUGGAAGCAUUCGUGAAAGCCAAACAGAUUUACCAUCAAUGUGUUUUCUUGGGAGACACAUAGAACUAUCUAGGUUUUAAUUUGCAGUUCAUAAUUUCGGGAUCGAAGCAGCAACAAGGGUUGUUAGAGUUCUAAGCAGCAUGGGUUUUCAUAUAAGUAGUUGGACCAGAUGCAGUUGAUUCAAAGGAAAGAAUGGAAACAAAGAUAUACAAUAAGUCGCUCUUUAUCCUUUUACAUCCCAUAAUAUUAACCACUUCUUUUUAAAAAAAUCCAUUGGUUCUGGCCAACUUCAAUGCCAAUAAUUGACCUUCACGGUUUAGCAUUUUGUUUGUGGGGUAUUAUUUCUGAAAUCCAUACUUCGUGCAAUGUUUGAAAUUCUUCUUACCAUGUUUAUUAGUAUUUCGGAGAACAACAUUAUUCAUCGCACUUAAUUCCAGUCUUGACCAAACUGCGGUGGUCAUUUGUGACUCAGUUCAUUUUGUCCAUGAUGUGCAACUCAUCUUAGGGUUAAGCAACCAUCAGUUCUAUCCUUUUUCUGCUUCUUCGGAGAUUACGUCGCAUUGUUCAGUCGUAAUUUGUGCCUUAUGGUAACAAAGGCGACCAUUUUACCACUUUCAGGAAAGACGUCAUGUUGCCCUUAACCGGGUUCAUGUCUAAUAAUCCUCAACAAAGUAAUCGGUAACUCCUUUUGUAGUUACUGUGAAUAAAGAUGUGUCCAGGUUUACUACAGCAAUUCUUAUUAUAUUCUCUAGCAUGUUGAUCAGUAAAGUACUCUUUAUAUUAUUUUUUUGCCUUUGCAGUAUGUUGAUUAAUGUCCUCCUAAAUUUCAACCUUAAAUUCUUGCAUUGCCUGUGAGCCAUUACGGUAAGAAGCAACCAUUUCAUGCAUAGAACUCAUUGGAUCCACAAAUUUUAUUAUAUGUUAGUUUGUGAAUGGUUGUCUUGGAAGACCUUUAUGUCCGACUAUUUCAGAGUUCACGGUACUAUUCACUGAACUGCACUUGAGUUAUGUUGUAUGGUUUAGAAAAUUUUAAUUGUUGAUUUAGCAAGAAAUGUCAGCACCAACAUUGUGGAUUAAAAGCAUUAAAAUGAUAAGAAUACAAUGCGCACAGGUCGGGUAGUUGCACACAAAGUAGUCCCCUAUUGAGUGGAGAUUACACUCUGCACAACCAAAAAUAGUUUUUGCCUAACUGUUCGCAACAUAAUACAUAUGUAGCUUUUUGUUAAUUUCUAGGAGAUGCAGAGAAGGUAAUAAAAAUUAGAGCGUAUAUAUGUUGUUAUUUUCAAGAAUGUGUAACAUGGUAAAGUCACAAUAACAAAACACUUUGAUAUCAUUACUAUGAGGAAAUCUAUUACAGGUAUGCCUCGAACUUGACGAGCUUAAUUUUUCCUUAAUGGCAAGAGUGUUCAUUUCUUUUAUAAGUAUUCUGUACCCAAAUCCUUUUAUAAGUAUUCUGUACCCAAAGCCUUAUAUGCAAAGCUGUUUAUAAUGCUAUUGAUCCUAAUCGAGGUAAUUAUGUGCACUCUUCCACAUGCUAUUGGAUCUCAAGUUUCGUACUGUUGUACCGCAGCAAACUAUGGCUUGACCCAGCAAAUGUGAAUGUCAAAGAGGUGAUAUGCCCAUUGGGGUGUCUUCUUGGUGCUACAGGUACCAAAUUCGUGCUUUGUUUAUCUGUAAAAUGUGUUUGGUUAGUAAAUUGUGGUGUAGUGAUAUUGAGAACCACGGUGUUAUUUAUUAUGCAUAUAUACUGGCACAUGAAUGAGAGUUGAUGUACACUCGCGGGAGGUAUUGUGUCAAUGACCUGGGCCACGCACGUCGAAUCUAUGCUCAUAAUUUCCGGUUCAGGGAUUCUCGAUAAAAUGUUAUAGAUAACGAGAUCAAGCUGAUCAUAGCCAGAGAGUAGUGGGUAUGACCGUUUGAUAAGUAUAUGCUGUUUCUAUUCAUAAUACAUAGAUUUUUUUUUUUUUUGCUCGGUGUUCAUAAUAUAUGGCAAUAAGAUAGUGAAAGAGUCUCUAUUCGCUUUAGGUCGAGAGUGGAACUUUUAACAUGAUUGAGACACUCAUUUGACCAUUUGGGUAGGUCGAGAAUUCAAUUCUUCUUAUAUUCUCUAGCAUGUUGAUCAGUAAAGUACUCUAUAUUAUUUUUUUUCCCUUUGCAGUAUGUUGAUUAAUGUCCUCCUAAAUUUUAACCUUAAAUUCUUGCAUUGCCUUUGUUCAGCCAUUACACUAAGAAGGAACCAUUUCACUCGUAGAACUCAUUGGAUCCACAAAAUUUAUAUGUUAAUUUGUGAAUGGUUGUAUUAGAAGACCUUUAUGUAUGAUUAUUUCAGAGUUCACGGAACUAUUCACUGAACUGCACUUGAGUUAUGUUGUACAGUUUAGAAAAUUUUAAUUGUUUGAUUUAGCAAGAAAUGCAAGCAACAACACCGGGGAUUAAAAGCAUUAAAAUGAUAAGAAUUCCAUGCGCA